CCUACGGGAGGCUGCAGUGGGGAAUAUUGCACAAUGGGGGAAACCCUGAUGCAGCGACGCCGCGUGAGUGAGGAAGUAUUUCGGUAUGUAAAGCUCUAUCAGCAGGGAAGAAAAUGACGGUACCUGACUAAGAAGCCCCGGCUAACUACGUGCCAGCAGCCGCGGUAAUACGUAGGGGGCAAGCGUUAUCCGGAUUUACUGGGUGUAAAGGGAGCGUAGACGGUUAAUCAAGUCAGAAGUGAAAACCCAGGGCUCAACCUUGGGACUGCUUUUGAAACUGAGUAGCUAGAGUGCAGGAGAGGUAAGCGGAAUUCCUAGUGUAGCGGUGAAAUGCGUAGAUAUUAGGAGGAACACCAGUGGCGAAGGCGGCUCUCUGGUCUGUAACUGACGCUGAGGUUCGAAAGCGUGGGUAGCAAACAGGAUUAGAUACCCCUGUAGUC
rnacentral:rRNA from 1 species